CGGGCACCUAGAACCAGAGACUGCGUGACGUCUAGGCCACUUGAUAAUGGAUUCUGCACAAAGGAGCGAAUUAGGAAGCAGUGGUAAGGAAAAUUCACUUGGAGGAGGCUGAAACUAGCAGCAAGGAAAACAGCAGGUCCUCAGAUGACCCGGAACAUCAUCCUUCUCUAAGGCAGAGGUGACCCGAAGCUGGAACGUCUUUCCCAACUGCUCUCCGGCCCACCCAGGAGGCGGCAACCAACGUCCAGAGGGCCUCUGGCUACGUACCAGGCUUCGUGCUUGUUAUGGCACCUCAUCGUCAGGACUCUUCAACAAGGGA